AUUGAACGCUGGCGGCAGGCCUAACACAUGCAAGUCGAGCGAGCGGCGGACGGGUGAGUAAUGUCUGGGAAAAUGCCUGAUGGAGGGGGAUAACUACUGGAAACGGUAGCUAAUACCGCAUACCAUCAGAUGUGCCCAGAUGGGAUUAGCUCGUAGGUGGGGUAAUGGCUCACCUAGGCGACGAUCCAUAGCUGGUCUGAGAGGAUGACCAGCCACACGGGAAAUGAGACACGGCCCAGACGCCUACGGUAGGAAGCAGGGGGUAAUAUUGCACAAUGGGCGCAAGCCUGAUGCAGCCAUGCCGCGUGUGUGAAGAAGGCCUUCGGAUUGUAGAGCACUUUCAGCGGGGAGGCGUUACCCGCCGAAGAAGCACCGGCUAACUCCGUGCCAGCCGCCGCGGUAAUAC
rnacentral:rRNA from 1 species